rnacentral:rRNA from 1 species
GACGAACGCUGGCGGCGUGCCUAAUACAUGCAAGUCGAGCGAGACUCUUCGGAGUCUAGCGGCGGACGGGUGAGUAACACGUGGGCAACCUGCCUGUAAGACUGGGAUAACACCGGGAAACCGGUGCUAAUACCGGAUAAUCCUUUUCCUCUCAUGAGGAAAAGCUGAAAGUCGGUUUCGGCUGACACUUACAGAUGGGCCCGCGGCGCAUUAGCUAGUUGGGGAGGCAACGGCUCACCAAGGCGACGAUGCGUAGCCGACCUGAGAGGGUGGUCGGCCACACUGGGACUGAGACACGGCCCAGACUCCUAUGGGAGGCAGCAGUAGGGAAUCUUCCACAAUGGACGAAAGUCUGAUGGAGCAACGCCGCGUGAGCGAUGAAGGCCUUCGGGUCGUAAAGCUCUGUUGUUAGGGAAGAACAAGUACCGGAGUAACUGCCGGUACCUUGACGGUACCUAACUAGAAAGCCACGGCUAACUACGUGCCAGCAGCCGCCGUAAUAC